UACGUAGGAGGCGAGCGUUGUCCGGAAUUACUGGGCGUAAAGAGCGCGUAGGCGGCGCGGUACGACCGCUGUGAAAGCCCCCAGCUCAACUGGGGAGGGUCAGCGGUAACGGCCGUGCUAUGAGUGCAGGAGAGGGAAGUGGAAUUCCGGGUGGAGUGGUGAAAUGCGUAGAGAUCCGGAGGAACACCAAAGGCGAAGGCAGUGUCCUGGGGAGUACCUGACGCUCAGGUGCGAAAGCCAGGGGAGCGAACGGG
rnacentral:rRNA from 1 species